GGAUGGGUGGCAGAGUCCGGUUUAAUGCAUCGGUCUUGAAAACCGACGAGGGUGCGAGCCCUCCGGGGGUUCGAAUCCCUCCCCAUCCGCCA
rnacentral:tRNA from 2 species